CUCGCUGACGUAAGCAAAAACAACCUAGUUGCAAUCUGUGACGACACGCGUAUUGCAAAGUUCUCUGCAUUUUUGUUGUUUCGUUAUAUUUUCCGCCUUAAAAGAGCAAUAUUGAAGCAUAAACUGGUCUAAUUGUUUUAAAAACAUGCCUAAGCCACGACAAAGUAUUCAAGGUAAAUGUUUUUCGUCUUUGUUUUGUAUUUUUUUACAUUAGUAGCUACGAAAUUGGCGUCCCCAAUUUUAACGAAAUUUGGGAUGCCUUUUUCACUGUUU